CGUAGGGUGCAAGCGUUAAUCGGAAUUACUGGGCGUAAAGCGUGCGCAGGCGGUCUUGCAAGACAGGUGUGAAAUCCCCGGGCUUAACCUGGGAACUGCACUUGUGACUGCAAGGCUGGAGUACGGCAGAGGGGGAUGGAAUUCCGCGUGUAGCAGUGAAAUGCGUAGAUAUGCGGAGGAACACCGAUGGCGAAGGCAAUCCCCUGGGCCUGUACUGACGCUCAUGCACGAAAGCGUGGGGAGCAAACAGGAUUAGAUACCCUGGUAGUCCACGCCCUAAACGAUGUCAACUGGUUGUUGGACGGCUUGCUGUUCAGUAACGUAGCUAACGCGUGAAGUUGACCGCCUGGGGAGUACGGCCGCAAGGUUG
rnacentral:rRNA from 1 species